UACGUAGGGGGCGAGCGUUGUCCGGAGUUACUGGGCGUAAAGCGCGCGCAGGCGGUCCUUUAAGUCUGAUGUGAAAGCCCACGGCUCAACCGUGGAGGGUCAUUGGAAACUGGGGGACUUGAGUGCAGAAGAGGAAAGCGGAAUUCCACGUGUAGCGGUGAAAUGCGUAGAGAUGUGGAGGAACACCAGUGGCGAAGGCGGCUUUCUGGUCUGUAACUGACGCUGAGGCGCGAAAGCGUGGGGAGCAAACAGG
rnacentral:rRNA from 1 species